CACAAGCAGCGGAGCGUGUGGUUUAAUUCGAUGCUACACGAAGAACCUUACCAGGGUUUGACAUACAAGUAGUAGGGAAGGAAACUGGACCGACCUUCGGGAGCUUGUACAGGUGCUGCAUGGCUGUCGUCAGCUCGUGUCGUGAGAUGUUCGGUUAAGUCCGCUAACGAGCGCAACCCUCGCUGUGUGUUACAAGUGUCACACGGAACUGCCGGUCAUAAACCGGAGGAAGGUGGGGAUGACGUCAAGUCAGCAUGGCCUUUAUAUCCUGGGCUACACACACGCUACAAUGGAUGGCACAAUAGGUUGCAACAGCGCGAGCUGAAGCUAAUCCCCAAAGCCAUCCUCAGUACAGAUUGCAGGCUGAAACCCGCCUGCAUGAAGUCGGAGUUGCUAGUAACCGCAAAUCAGCAUGUUGCGGUGAAUACGUUCUCGGGCCUU
rnacentral:rRNA from 1 species